rnacentral:lncRNA from 1 species
CACAGAAGGUACACAAUAAAUGGCAGUGAAUUAAAUGGACAAAACAGAUUGCUGUGGAACGGUUUGUGAUUGCUAUUUUGAAAACCUGGUCAUAUAUUUUUAGCCUGCAAAACCUCUGCUUUGACACAUUUCCUCAUGGGGACACACUGCAGCUGCUGAAAGAAGGGAAGUCCCAGCACUGCUUUCUCACCAUGGAACAGCAGGAGAGGAAAGCCUUUUGAAUUCUAGCCAUGAUAACCCUAAAGUUUACAUGGCCACAGACUCCAGCUUUGCCAGGAAAGUUUAGAAUAAAUCCCCUUCCACCCCUGCCCCUGGUGCCAAACUUGGAAGAAUGACUUCAUGGAUGGAAAUCUAUGCAAAUGUCUCUCAUAUUUGGAAUUGAGCUUCUACGAAGGCCAGUGCCAUUUUUCUCCUGCUGUUUACUGCCCAUCUCCAUGGAAAACAAGACACAUUCCCAGAAGUGAAAGUGCAGAUUCAAAGAACCUGUAUUCUACACAGGGAAGAGAAUGAACUUUGUGCUGACAUCAUCUGCCAGCUUCCCAGAAGCCCUCCCUAAAUGUCUAUCUGUCUCACCAAAUUUUUACCCCACAGCAGACUCCAGGCUCCAGAAGGAGAUGAGAAGAUGAACAGAAGAGCAGAAGAAUGGCAGAAUGGCAUGGCAGAGAGAAGAAAAGGAGCAUCUGAAUGCCAAGAGGAGUUUGACUGGGUGUGGCCAGAGAGGAGUUCAGCUGCUGGAUGAUCAAACUCCAGGGGAAGAUCAUCUUCCCACUUCCUCCCUGUGCUAGUCCCCCAUCGAUCCCACUGAGAGCCACCUCUUCCACCCAAGAAAACCCCCACAUUUACCACCCUUAAGUCUGUGUGUGAGUUGAUUCUUCUGGGUUGCUGGAUAAGAGCUCCACAUACAGAAAGCUGUCACACUGGCCUUCUGCCAUUGUGAAAAGGCAGAGGGUUCACUGAGCUGGUUAACACGUAAGCCGUCUGCAGAUGGCAAAGCUAAAAGAGCGCACUGUAACACAUGUCACACCCACUUAGGCUUUGGGAGUUGCAGGCACACACCUCUAGUUGCUACCAUGGGGCCAGAGCCCCAGAGCACUCACCCUGGCUCCUGUGCCUGCCUGUCUGCGUGCUCCCCCAACUCUAAAAUGUUUGAGUGUACGGCAGCCGAAUGCAUAGGCCCCCACCCCUGUCGCAUGUUCUGCAAGUGGUUCAGGGAACUCUCCCGUUACGAUAAGGAGAAAUACAAACUUGUUGACAAUCUUAGAACAUAAUUGACUAAAGAAUGACUGAAUUUUCAACUAUUCUGUAAAUCUAAAAUUAUUCCAAAAUCAAGUUUAUUAAAAAAGAAACAAAAAGUAAGCUACCAUGUGAUGAGGGAGACAGCUCUAGUCACUGGAAAUGUUGAAACAGAGUAUAGAAAAUCUCUUGGUGGGAAGUAUGUACAAUGGACUGAAGCAUGAGUCAAUUAUCCAGUGUAUUUACUACAUUUAUAUUGACAUGUCACAGAGAGGAGGGGACAGAAAGUAUUGUGUAUGACAGAUUCAAUAUUAAAAAUUGUCAUGAUAGGUUGCAACCAACCAGGUAAAAUAUCAAAAGGAUAAACAUAAUGCCACACAUUUGGGUUUACAAUCUCAAUUGCUUUAUAUAUAUUAAAUAAAAAUGUAUAGUACAUAAUUAAU